rnacentral:rRNA from 1 species
UCCUGGCUCAGGAUGAACGCUAGCGGCAGGCUUAAAUACAUGCAAGUCGAGGGCUCAGCAAUGGGACCGGCGCACGGGUGCGUAACACGUAUGCAACCUGCCUGUAUCUGGGGGAUAGCCUCUCGAAAGAGAGAUUAAUACCCCAUAGUAUAACUGAAGAGCUAUUUUUUGGUUAUUAAAGAUUUAUCGGUUAAAGAUGGGCAUGCGGCUGAUUAGGUAGUUGGUGAGGUAAUGGCUCACCAAGCCAACGAUCAGUAGGGGGUCUGAGAGGAUGUCCCCCCCACACUGGUACUGAGACACGGACCAGACUCCUACGGGAGGCAGCAGUAGGGAAUAUUGGACAAUGGGGGCAACCCUGAUCCAGCCAUUCCGCGUGCAGGAAUAAGGCCCUAUGGGUCGUAAGCUGCUUUUGUAUGGGAAAAAAUCAUCUUACGUGUAGGAUGUUGAUGGUACCAUGAGAAUAAGGAUCGGCUAACUUCGUG